GGGGGGGGUUGGAGGGAAGAGGAAAGGGGCAGAGGAGCCCGCUGGGGAGGGGAGAGGAAGGAAAUUAGGGUGGAGUGAGCGAAGAGGAGACGAGGGACUGGGCGUGCAGAGUAAAAGGAGCUGGGCGGGGAGGAAGCGAAGAGGGAGAAGCGGAGUGGGGAGAUCAGGAGGGGGGAGGGCGAGGCGCCUCCCCGCAGCCGGGCACUGGCCUGGGGUCCUCCCCUCCCCCGGGGGCCAACGUCCCUGGGGCGUGAUUAGCAGCUCCUAGGGGAAAAGGGCGGGGCCUGAGCUCGGGGCGCGGGGGUCCGGGUGGGGCGGCGACCCGCGGCGCUGCGCGAGACCGCGGCUCUGGCGCGAGGCCCUGAGUUUGCCCAGGGGGGCUCUGGUCACACCGCGUUUCUGGGCCUUUAGGUUCCUCCUCGUCUCUGCUCUCCGCCGACGCCCUGCCCUCCCUCCGCGCGUCAGAGCCGGGUCCCGGGCGCCCAGUGCUGGGGGGGACGGGGUGGGCACAGUCGGGGACGCCCCAGCGAGGACCUACUGGGUGUGAUCCUGGGCGCACGAGAUAUGGAGCUGCAGUGACGAGACGGUCACCCGAAGGACCCUGGAGAGGGGCAGCUGUAGGGGGUCCUGGGAGAGGGUCUGACCGCGGGCCACCUGAGCGUCAGCGGGGGGGACGCGUGGGCCUGGAAAGAUGGGGGAGAUCUGACUGGUGGAGACAUGAGUGCCCCAGAAAGGGAGGCCGAGGUGGUGGAAGCAAGGGCGCAGCUUGCUGGGCUCCAGGACCUGAGGGGUGGGAGGGAGCUUGAAGGCCUCAGGCCAGGCCAGCGGGCAGCACCCACUGCAGCCUACCAGCGGAAGGUGCGAGGCCACCCCUGCCCUCACCUAUGGGUGACUUGUUGAGGUGACCUUUCUGAGCCUUGGCUUGUCCACAUCUGCUAGUGGGGCAGUAUCGGAGGGUGGUGAACAUGUAUAACAUGUGGGAAGCUGUGUAGUGCCCUUCCCAGCCUGGCUGCUUCAUGAACCUAGUCCCUUUCCCUCCUGGAAGAAGGAAGUCAACCCAGAGCCUUCUCACUGCUGGGCACCUUCCUAGCACAGACAAUUUACCAAACAAGAUACACAGGUAACAAACGAGCACAUGAAAAGCUGCUCAGCAUCCUUAGUCAUGAAACUCUCAGAAGGCGCCAGGACACGCCUCUCACGAUGGCUAAAAUGAAAAAAGAUUGACCUUACCAGCUGAGUACAAGGAUGCAGAGCAAAUGGGACUCUCAUGCAUGACUGUUGAGAAUGUAAAAUGAUACAACCACUUUGGAAACUAGUUUGGCACUUUGUUGAAAAGUUAAGCAAUACUACCCUAUGAUCUAGCCAUUGCAUUCCUAGAUAUUUACCCAGGAGAAACGGAAGCAUGUGUUCCUACUGAGACAAACACAAUGUCCAUCAACAGACUGAAUUCCUGAGGGUGGAGAGGAUGUGUCUUGUUUCCACUGCCAGCACCGUCUGGUCCAAUCGGCAAGAAGUGGUUGCUGAUUUUGGCAGACUCCUUGCUCUCCUUCCUUCUUUGCCCAGGUCGUGGGUGCUGACCUUAUCAAAGGGCAGCCUGGGGUUAUUCUUGGCAUAACCAGCACAUAGCUGGUUAUGCACACAGCACGUCGCCCAGUUCCUGGCUUGGAGGGAGAGCGCUCACGUUUGAUGGUUACAACAAUGGAUGGGAACCCAUAGCCAGUGGCUUUGAUGCCUCUGUGCCUGAUGGGAAGCUGAGAAGGAAUUGACAGAGCUCUUCUUUCUUUGGGUCACUAGCGUCCCGCAGCUUCAGCGUUUCUUUGUGCUCAAGCAAGCGCAGUUGCCAGGACCACAGAGGAAGGGGAUGGAAGAAUGGCCUCAGCCGUCUCGGAGGAUGGCACUUGUUGCCCCCAGUGCCAUCUGCCAAAGACCUUUUCAAUUACACCAGACGCAUUGGCUCUAGGCAGCCUCAGCUUCCUGUCACCACGGACUCUGUUUAAGGUCUCAGCUGGACUUGGCUGCAUUGGAGAUUGCAGGGAAUAUGGCUGGUCCACUUGGGUGGCUUUGCACGUGGCCAUCCUGUGCGUAUGCCCUUCUGCCAGCCUGGCGGCCUCUCCCUUCAUCUGCCUUGUCCUUGAAAUGCAUCAGCAGGGGGAGCUGGAUCUGUCCUAAACCUGACGGAAAACAGACGUCCCCGCACGCAGAGGAGCAAGCUGCCUCGCUGGGUUUUUCUGGAAUAGCUCAGAUGGCUGUUAUUUUAUUCAUUGGAAUGGAGAUGAAUUGCUAAAUGUACCAGUUAAAUGUGAUUUAAAUUGUAUAUCGUUGUCAAGUUUUUCACAUAAAUUCACUAAUUAAAAAAAAUUCUUUGCACAGACA